AUGGUAGAUGUUUUGAAUUAUCAAUAAAAAUACUUAAAAUGUUAACUUUGAAUAUGAAAUAUGGGCUUUCAUGAAAAGGAUUUUCAUGGAGGGGCCAUUUUUGUUUAAUGUCCCUAAUUUAAUGAAAUUAGGGCUUUUUGUAGUUCGUUUGUCAUCGUUUAAACCGAUCGGGUAAAGGGAAAGCAAAUGGAAACGAACGAAACAGCGGGGGGAAGGCGGGACCAAUCUACGACGAUAGCAGACCCAUCUCCUGCGAGGGGGGAGCAUCCUCGGUGGUCAACGAGGUGGAAGAACGAAGGGAGAAGCAGCGACGAUGCACUCUUCUCGGUCGGCUGCUAGGUGCGAAGGAGAAGAAUCGAUCGGCGACGAGGGAGAUCGUCUUCGGAGUUUGACAAGACCGAAGAGGCGAAGGGAAGAGCAACGAAGCAGCGCUCUUGUUGUCCGGCUACGAGGUGUGAUGUCCGGCGUCGAAAGCAAUGGUAGCAGCGAAGACAGGACCUUCGGUGGGGUUUGCUCGACGGAAGAUGAAGAGGAGGGUGUGAGCGGUGGGACGCUGAGUGAUUGCAGCUCCGGGAAGGGGUUCGGAGGCAGUUGCUUUUUUCAUUUUUGAUGCUUGCAGGGGAUAGGCAAGGAUUCAAUGGUUUUUCUGGUGUGAAUUUGAUGGGAAGGAAGAAGAAGAAACAAAUGGUGUUGAUGCCCUUUUGGUUGGCUGAAAAAUUGUAUGAACAACAACUGUUCUUUGGCUGGAAUUGAUGCAGAAUGACAAGAAAUAUUGAGGCGUAUGGGUGAUGAUUUUUUUUAAAUCCUUGUACAUUGUUUGAGUUGAGUGGAGUUUUGGUUGAAGGAGAGAAAGUCUCAAAUUUUUGGCAAUCAAUUAAGUGAUUGGUGAUUGUGUGUACCUUGAAUGAGAUUUAGAAGCUAUAAUUUGAAGAGAUUUUGUUAUUUAGAAGCUAUAAGAAAAUGAUUUUGAUGAGAUUUUGUUGGGUUGGAUUACUCGUGAUACAAAGAGAUUGUAUGUGUACAUAUCAUUCAUACUUUAUGUGUCAUGUAUUAUUUCAUUGGUAUGUAUUUGUGUGUAUUUGUUUGAUUUGGUAUGUAUUAUUGGUGUUUUUUUAUUUGUAA